GGGGCUGGGGCUGGGGCUGGGGCUGGGGCUGGGGCUGGGGCUGGGCCCGCCCGGGUGGGGGCCGGGGCCGGAGAAGGGGAGGGGUAGGUGAGCGCUCAGCCCAACCACUGCAGCACCAACUGCCUGAGCGGCCCGGCUGCGCGCACCGCACGUCACCCACGGGGCGGGCCCCGCGUCGCGUUGGGCCCGAUGGGCAGGGCCCCGAGGGAAGCCAGGCGCGGCAAGAGGCGUGGCCGAGCGCCAUCAUCGAGCGCCGGCGGAGGUCGGGGGAGAGGUGACGUCAACACUGAGCGCCGCACGGACAGCGUGGUGUGUAGACGUUUGACCCACUUCACAGGAAAGUAGGGCCCGGAAAGUUGUGAUUCACUCAAGGUCACGCAGCUGGAACGGGAAAAGACUGAGAAUUCGGGGCUCAGAGAAAAGAAGGGAGAGGCGAAACAACUUUAACUAGGACAAGGCCAGUGUAAAGAUUGCGGACAUCUUGAGUAGAAUAGAAUUCUUCAGGGAUAACGAAAGUAAAUACAGCCUCAAUAGGAGAAAGGCAAAGCAUUCUGGAGAAUGGUAUAAGACACAUCUUUCAUUUCCCCAAUGCCGAUUUUCUUUAGACCCAACGAACAAGUUGGCUGAACGGAAUUUCCUGUAUCCAGCCGUCCUCGUCCCCUAGUCUUGAAGGAGGCGGGGCAAAGAAAUAGGACUUGGGAGCAGAGGAGAAAGGGGAGGAGUCACUAGCAUGAGUAAGUCCCAUGAUACGUGGUCUCCACCGCCUGGCAGAACAUCAUGUGUGAGGAAUGACACAAUACCCAAUCCUCCGGCGGAAUGAGUCAAGGAUCUCUUCUCCGUGUUCCAGCUACCCCUGUAAGCGAGGCAAAGACACUCCCAAAAUGUCCUUCUCUCUGCUGCUAGUGACUCAGAAGUUCUGCGGCCCAACUCAUUUAGGAAUAGAAGAGGCAGAACUUGGCUAAAGAGUUCAGUGGGGAAAUCGGCCAUCUCCCAGGAUUCUAGCUCCCUUAGUUUGACACUUAAGUUCUUGCCAAGCACAAACCAGACACACAAUCUGGAGACCCACCAAGACAUAAUAUUGGGUGAAGGCCAAUCUGUAGGAACAAUAAAAUGAAAAUACCAUGCUUUAUGACACCAAA